UACGAAGGGGGCUAGCGUUGCUCGGAAUCACUGGGCGUAAAGGGUGCGUAGGCGGGUCUUUAAGUCAGGGGUGAAAUCCUGGAGCUCAACUCCAGAACUGCCUUUGAUACUGGAGACCUUGAGUCCGGGAGAGGUGAGUGGAAUUGCGAGUGUAGAGGUGAAAUUCGUAGAUAUUCGCAAGAACACCAGUGGCGAAGGCGGCUCACUGGCCCGGAACUGACGCUGAGAUGCGAAAGCGUGGGGAGCAAACAGG
rnacentral:rRNA from 1 species